rnacentral:rRNA from 1 species
GACGAACGCUGGCGGCGUGCUUAACACAUGCAAGUCGAACGGAAAGGCCCCUUUUGGGGUACUCGAGUGGCGAACGGGUGAGUAACACGUGAGUAACCUGCCCUUGACUUCGGGAUAACUUCAGGAAACUGGGGCUAAUACCGGAUAGGAAUCCUUUCUGCAUGGUGGGGGUUGGAAAGCUUCUGCGGUUUUGGAUGGACUCGCGGCUUAUCAGCUUGUUGGUGGGGUAGUGGCUUACCAAGGCUUUGACGGGUAGCCGGCCUGAGGGGGCGACCGGCCAAAUUGGGACUGAGAUAAGGCACAGAAUCGUAAGGGAGGAAGAAGGGGGGAAGAUUGCAAAAGGGGCGGAAGCCGGAUGCAGAAAGGCCGCGGGCGGGAUGACGGGCUUCGGGUUGGAAAACGAAUUCAGCAGGGGCGAAGCUUGUGGUGACGGUACCUGCAGAAGAAGCACCGGCUAACUACGUG